rnacentral:misc_RNA from 1 species
CUGCCUCAAGCACGGCUUGUGUGUUGGGUGUGGUCCCCCCGGGGACCUGCCCGAAAGGCAGCGGCGACGUCCGUCUGGUCCUCGAGCGUAUGGGGCUUUGUCACUCGCUCGGGAAGGACCUGCGGGGGUUGGUCACCACCACAUUUUACCAC